rnacentral:rRNA from 1 species
AUUGAACGCUGGCGGCAGGCUUAACACAUGUAAGUCGAGCGGAGAUGAGGUGCUUGCACCUUAUCUUAGCGGCGGACGGGUGAGUAAUGCUUAGGAAUCUGCCUAUUAGUGGGGGACAACAUUCCGAAAGGAAUGCUAAUACCGCAUACGUCCUACGGGAGAAAGCAGGGGAUCUUCGGACCUCGCGCUAAUAGAUGAGCCUAAGUCGGAUUAGCUAGUUGGUGGGGUAAAGGCCUACCAAGGCGACGAUCUGUAGCGGGUCUGAGAGGAUGAUCCGCCACACUGGGACUGAGACACGGCCCAGACUCCUACGGGAGGCAGCAGUGGGGAAUAUUGGACAAUGGGGGGAACCCUGAUCCAGCCAUGCCGCGUGUGUGAAGAAGGCCUUAUGGUUGUAAGGCACUUUAAGCGAGGAGGAGGCUACUGAGACUAAUACUCUUGGAUAGUGGACGUUACUCGCAGAAUAAGCACCGGCUAACUCUGUGCCAGCAGCCGCAGUAACAC